GUUAGCUCAGCUUUACUUGAUCUGUCAGAGGACAUCGAUGUCGAACCGAUGUGACCAAGAAUCAGGUAUGCUAAAUCAUCUACUACCUAGCUCUAUUACCACUAUUUUUCAGCUAUACUAUAGCUAAUAGCUACGUGGGCAAAUAGCCCACGAUCUCCAUAUAGCUAGCUAUUUUGUUUUAACAAACUAAUGGCCUAAUAAAUUCUCUCAAUGGCCUAACUAUUAGAUGAUGCCCUA
rnacentral:lncRNA from 1 species